GCCUUUGUGGUGUAAUUGGAAGCAUACUCGACGCAUAUUCGAAAGGUCCAGGGUUCAAGUCCCUGCGAGGGCG
rnacentral:tRNA from 1 species